rnacentral:rRNA from 1 species
AUUGAACGCUGGCGGCAGGCUUAACACAUGCAAGUCGAGCGGGGGAGGUUGCUUCGGUAACUGACCUAGCGGCGGACGGGUGUGUAAUGCUUAGGAAUCUGCCUAUUAGUGGGGGACAACAUUCCGAAAGGGAUGCUAAUACCGCAUACGCCCUACGGGGGAAAGCAGGGGAUCUUCGGACCUUGCGCUAAUAGAUGAGCCUAAGUCGGAUUAGCUAGUUGGUGGGGUAAGGGCCUACCAAGGCGACGAUCUGUAGCGGGUCUGAGAGGAUGAUCCGCCUCACUGGGACUGAGACACGGCCCAGACUCCUACGGGAGGCAGCAGUGGGGGAUAUUGGACAAUGGGCGGAAGCCUGAUCCAGCCAUGCCGCGUGUGUGAAGAAGGCCUUUUGGUUGUAAAGCACUUUAAGCGAGGAGGAGGCUCUUAAGGUUAAUACCCUUGAUGAGUGGACGUUACUCGCAGAAUAAGCACCGGCUAACUCUGUGCCAGCCGCCGCAGUAAUAC